GACGAACGCUGGCGGCGUGCUUAACACAUGCAAGUCGAACGGUGAAGCGCCUUCCUUUUUGGUGGGUGUGGAUGAGUGGCGAACGGGUGAGUAACACGUGAGUAACCUGCCCCCUUCUUCUGGAUAACCGCAUGAAAGUGUGGCUAAUACGGGAUAUUCUGGGUCUGUCGCAUGAUGGGUCUGGGAAAGAUAUUGUUUCGGUGGGGGAUGGGCUCGCGGCCUAUCAGCUUGUUGGUGGGGUGAUGGCUUACCAAGGCGGUGACGGGUAGCCGGCCUGAGAGGGUGGACGGUCACACUGGGACUGAGACACGGACCAGACUACUACGGGAGGCAGCAGUGGGGAAUAUUGCACAAUGGGCGCAAGCCUGAUGCAGCGACGCCGCGUGAGGGAUGGAGGCCUUCGGGUUGUGAACCUCUUUCGCCAGUGAAGCAGGCCUGCCUCGUUUGUGGGUGGGUUGACGGUAGCUGGAUAAGAAGCGCCGGCUAACUACGUG
rnacentral:rRNA from 1 species